rnacentral:rRNA from 1 species
CAAUAGCGUAUAUUAAAGUUGUUGCGGUAAAGAAGCUCGUAGUUGGAUUUCUGUUGAGAGCGACCGGUCCAUACCAUGUAUGCGUAUCUGGCUUGCUCUCGGCAUCCUCUCGAUAGACGUUGCUGCGCUUGAUUGCGUGGCGCGGAUCUCGGGACUUUUACUUUGAGGAAAUUAGAGUGUUCACGGCAGGCUUUCGCCAGAAUACAUUAGCAUGGAAUAAUACUAUAGGAUCUUGGUUCUAUUUUGUUGGUUUCUAGAAUUGAGAUAAUGAUUAAUAGGGACAAUUGGGGGCAUUCGUAUCAACACGUCAGAGGUGGAAUUCUUGGAUUGUGUUGCGACGAACUACUGCGAAAGCAUUUGCCAAGGAUGUUUUCAUUGA